UAGAGAUUAAAGGUUGGUUGCAGAUUUUUGAAAAGCUUUGUGGAACAAUUCAAACUCUGAAAGCACCGAAAGAUUUUGAAGACCAUCAAGACAGAGUGCCAUCAAAUAAUCCUCUGCUUCAGAUUCUCUGUUUUCCUAUCAUCAAAAUGCUGUCAUCUUCUGUUUUCUUCAUCUUUGGGAGUUGAUUCAUGAGAAGCUCACGCAUAAUGAGAUGUGCAGGCAUGGAGCCUGAUAUAUGAAUCAUGUACACUUGUCACAUAGUUAUUGUGAUUGAAAACUUUCAGGUGUUGUUGAAUUUACUCUAAUAUUGUGUACUUUAGUGAAUCAGGUCAAAAUAGUUGAUCAGAUUGCUGUGUUUUGAAGAAAGAGUUAUAUGAGAAGCAAGGAAGGCAGAAUCUGGCAGCAAAGCAUAACUGACAAUGAUAUCAAAGAGGAAAUUAGUCACUGGAUCAAUAAAUAAAAGAAAUACAAGAGGAGGAAUCUCAUCAGUGUUCAUUCCAGAUUAACCGUAUGCUUCUGAGUAUCAUUGUUGAAAUUUGAGUAUGAGUUCUCAAGAGUGCUUUCAAUAUCUAGCUAUUCAAGAGCAACCUAUGCAGAUAACUACUGUUUACUUAAGCUGUAUUGGCUCGGGCGUGAACUGUGUAAAGCUUUAGAUGCAACUUAUGAGUAAGUUAUGUAAAAAUCUUAGAGUUGUGACUUGUAAGAUUUGUAGGUGAGCUCUCUUUGUGAAACUUACUGGCAUUGGGAUUGGAUUUUUAUAGUGGGCAAAUCUCUUGAGUAUUUUUCAAGAGGACUGGACACAAAUCAAAGGACCGAAUCAGGAUAAUUCUCAUGGUGCCUUAUUUUUUCUUUCUUUA